AUGCGUCGUCGCCUCCUACAGACACAUCCUGGUUACCAGACUUCUCUGGGACUUCUCUCUGUCACCCGGCCUGCCUUGGAUCACUCUGCUGGUCCUUCCAGAGGGGUCACAGCACGAUGGCGUCCACCUGCUGGAGAAGAGUGGAAGCAGGCAGACCGUGGGGUUCACUGCAUACCUGCUGUGUGGAGAGUGUUGUACUGGAUGCCUGUAAGCUCAUCCUCUAGACUGUCCAUUACACUGACACAGUGAUUGGUGGAGGAGAGCGGAGCUCUUGUCAGCGGAGUGAGUAUUGGCUGUCACCCCACUUAUCAAGCUGCCUGCUUAUUUGCGAUUUUAUUUUCAGCAGUGAUUGACAUCUGGAUGGCUCUGACAUUCUCGGUACAAACAUGCAGCCUGUUAUUAUGCCCGCAUUAACAUUUUGAUAAACACACGCUGCCGCAUUGGAAAAGUAAUUACAUGUCAUCACUUCACUGUCUCAUCAAAGAAAAGUUUACUGUGUAAUUGUACCACGAUUUACCUGGGUAAAACGAGUUACUGUCGACAAAGCUCCCCGUUCUUCAACAGUUUACGUUUACUGUUUAAAAC
rnacentral:lncRNA from 1 species